AAAGUCCUGACCCGGUAAGGAUUGGCCAUCCACCGGAACCGAGUGUUGCGUGGUGUGGGAGCGAUCCCGCCUGCGAAGCAUACACAGCAGGCAUGCAGGCUGUGUGAUUGAGCCUCGAAAGCAGAGUGGCGGAGCCGACGUUGUUAAGUAGGCGGAAGGCAACAGUGCUGCCACCGAGAGGGCCUGGGGGCAGCACUCCGCCGGGGUCGAAGAGCA
rfam:Marine metagenome 1096626778098, whole genome shotgun sequence.